rnacentral:rRNA from 1 species
UAGGGAAUCUUCGGCAAUGGACGAAAGUCUGACCGAGCAACGCCGCGUGAGUGAAGAAGGUUUUCGGAUCGAAAACUCUGUUGGUAGAGAAGAACGUUGGUGAGAGUGGAAAGCUCAUCAAGUGACGGUAACUACCCAGAAAGGGACGGCUAACUACGUGCCAG